rnacentral:rRNA from 1 species
GAUUAACGCUGGCGGCAUGCCUAAUACAUGCAAGUCGAACGGAAGCAGCAAUGCUUUAGUGGCGAACGGGUGAGUAACACGUAGGGAACCUACCUAUACGACGAGGAUAACUACUGGAAACGGUAGCUAAAACUGGAUAGGAUCAAUUGAGGCAUCUUGAUUGAUUUAAAGAUCCUUCGGGAUUACGUAGAGAUGGCCCUGCGGCGCAUUAGCUAGUUGGUGAGGUAACGGCCCACCAAGGCGACGAUGCGUAGCUGAGCUGAGAGGCUAAACAGCCACACUGGGACUGAGACACGGCCCAGACUCCUACGGGAGGCAGCAGUAGGGAAUUUUCGGCAAUGGGGGAAACCCUGACCGAGCAAUGCCGCGUGAACGAUGAAGGUCUUCGGAUUGUAAAGUUCUGUGAUUGGGGAAGAAUGGUAUUCUUAGGGAAUGAGGAGUACAUGACGGUACCCGAUUAGAAAGCCCCGGCUAACUAUGUGCCAGCAGCCGCGGUAAAA